CCAGGAAGAUCAGCUUUAAACACGUGUGCUUCUGGUGUUUCCUUCCAGUCCACACGUGUGCUCACAAAUGCAGAAUUCUCACGAGAUAAUUCAGGGAAUGAAGAAGAAACGGAACUGGAAAAUGGAAAAUCCUUAAAGGGAUCCCAAAGGUCGAGGGAGAAUGGAUCGUAAACGUUGCUCCUUCGGCCACCGAAGAAACUUGGAAUCAGCGACAUUCUUCUCUUCUCUUUCGGAUGUAGUUGAGAACUCGAUAAAUUUAGAAUGCAAAUUGGAAAGCAAUUGUUAUUGGUAUGAAUGUUGAGUGUGAAUCACAUUGUCUGCAGAGACAGGGUAUAUAAAUAAGAUGGAUGAAUAAUAUUGUAUUUUCGAGAAAAUGCGGUUAAUUGAUUCAUUUUGUCGCAAGGUCAUGAAAGUUCUAAAACAUUCUUGAGUUCUCGGGUGACCUGGAAUGCUCUAGAUACUAUGGGUUCGGUCCGAGGUUCAAUCACAUUUAAUAGUUCAAAACAAAAUUUUACAUCUUUAGAAAUAUAUUUCUAAGAGUAUUAAGAGAAAUAAUAUUUUUAUAUCACUGUUGAAGUCUUAACUCAACUAUAUAUAAUCGAUGAAUUUAUAAUCUCUUCUAAUUUACAUGGUAAACGAAUACACAAAAUUUUCAAUCUAAUAAUAUCAAAGACUAGGACUUAAGAACAUGCUAGCGAGAGCUUUAAGUACACCAAUUAAUAAAUUUAAAAAUUAAAUUCAAAUAUAAAUAUAGAAAAUAAAGAUAUAAUUGAACUUAUUUUACUGUCUUUAUUUCAUUUAUUGAUGCAUAUUCAACAUUAAUGAUAUAAUAGUUGAACACAUCUUUUUGUUUAUCCAACCAUCUAUUAAUCACUUUGACACAUUUCAUUAUUUAUCACUAUCUAUUAACUAAUUAACUAUUUGUUUUAUCUCCUUUCUUUAUUACAUUUUUUCAUUUUUAAUUUUAUUAACUUUCUUCUUGCAUCAUCUUUUUAUUAUUUUGUUCUUUCUCUUAACAAAAAAAACAUAGACCUUAUAUUAAACUUUGAAAACAAAAGUUAAUGUUAAAAUAUUAUAAAAUAAAUUGUCAUUCAUACAUAUAAACAAUAUAGAAAAAAUAUUUGUCAUUGAUACAUUAAAAAAUUGAUAAAUAUAAAAAUAUGAUAAAUAUUUUUCAUUAAUAUAUAAAAUAAUACGGGACAUGUAUUUAUCAUUGAUAAAUAUCAAAAAACACGAAUAAAAUAUAAAUUAAUAAAUUAUAAAAAAAUAUGGGACUCAUAUUUGUCAUCCACAAAUAUAAAAAAAAACGCAAAAUAAAUAUAUAUCACUAAUAAACAUAAAAAAUAAUAUCAGACAACUAUUUGUCCUUGAUACAUAAAAAAAAUACAAGACCCAUAUUUUUCACCGAUAAAUAUUAAAAAACAUAGAAAAAUAUUUAUAAUAGAUAAAUAUAAAAUACACGAGACAAAAUAUUUGUCAUUGAUACAUAAAAAUAACACGAAAUAAAUAUUUAUCACACAUGUAUAUAUAAAAGUAUGAGAUAAAUAUUUAUCACUGAUAAAUGUAAAAAAGAUUAUGGAACACAUAUAGGUUAUUGAUACAUAAAAAAUACAUGACGCGUAUUGGUCACUGAUAAAUAUUAACAAAAAAAAUACAAGACAAAUAUUUAUCAUUAAUAAACAUAAAAAACACUUGACAAAUAUUUUUAUUAUUGAUACAUAAAAAAAUACGAGACACAUAUUUUUCACCGAUAAAUUUUGAAAAAAUUCACAAGAUAAACAUUUAUCACAAAUAAAUAUUAAAAAAAAUGAAAAAAAAUAUUUAUAAUUGAUAAAUAUAAAAAAUACGGGUCAAAUAUUUAUCAUUAAUACAUAAAAAUAAUAUGGGACAAAUAUUUGUCACAUAUGUACAUAUAAAACAUAUGAUAAAUAUUUAUCACUGAUAAAAUAUAAAAUAUUGAAUAAAUUUAUGUUUUUGAUAUAUAAAAAAGGAUGAUGCAUAUUUAACAACACUAGAUAAUUAAAAAAAAAUACGAGACAAAUUUUUACCAUUAAUAAAUAUAAAACAACAUAAGACAAAUAUUUGUAUUUGAUAAAUUAAAAAAAAAAACAGUUACGAAUAAAUAUUUAUCACUGAUAAAUAUAAAAAAUAUGAGAUAACUAUUUAUAACAAAUAAGUAUAAAAAAAAAAAAAAGCACAUGACUAAGAUUUAUCACGAAUAAAUAUACAAAAAAAUACGGAUUAAAUAUUUAUCACUGAAAAAUAUUUAAAAAAAAAUAAGAGACAAAUAUUUAUUACUGAAAAAUAUUAAAAAAAAACUAUGGGAAAAAUAUUUAUAAUUGAUAAAUAUAAAUAACAAGAGACAAAUAUUUAUCACUGAUACAUAAAAACAACACAUGAUAAAUAUUUGUCACAUAUGUAUAUAUAAAAACAUGAGAUAAAUAUUUAUCACUAAUAAAUAUAAAAAAUAUGAAAUAAAUAAUUAUCAUUGAUAAAUAUAAAUACACAUGACAAAUAUAUAUUAUUGAUACAUAAAAAAAAUACGGGAUGCAUAUAGAUUAUUGGUAAAUAUAAAAUACAUGAUAAAUAUUUGUCACUGAUAAAUAUUAAAAAAAUGUAAAAAAAUUAUUUAUUACUAAUAAAUAUUAAAAAAAAAUCGAAUAAAUAUUCAUCAUUAUUACAUAAAAAAAUACGUGACAUGUUGUAGUCUUCACCGAUAAAUUUGUUUAAAAAAUCACGAAAUAAACAUUUAUCAUUAAUAAAUAUAAUUAAAAUAUGGAAGAAAAAAAAUUUAAAAUUGAUAAAUAAAUAAAAAAUCGGGCCAAGUACUUGUCAUAGAUAUUUAUAUAAAACAAGAGAUAAAUAUUUAUCACUGAUAAAUAUGAAAAAAUAGAGAUAAAUAAUAAUUGACAUAACAAGAUUGGAAAUUUAUUUUGUGUUUGAAAGAAAAUAGUAUAGAAAUGGUAGUUAAGACAAACUCUCAAAUUAAAUUUUUGAUGAAAAUAAACAAAGGUUAUUUAAGAAUGUUAAUUAUGAUUCUAAAAUGUUAUGUUAAUUUAACUUGUGUUUUUGAGUGAAUUAAUUCAAAGAUAGAAAUCAAGCAAAGCAAAGAAAGUAGAUAAAAACUGAACAUAUAAAGAAACAAAAGCAUUCUGGAUAAAACGUAGAAUGUUCUCCAGGAUCAAAACAUUCAAAGAUAGGAAUCAAACAAAGCAAAUAAAUCAGAUAAAAACUGAACAUAUAAAAAAACAAGAGCAUUCUGGAUAAAAUGAAGAAUGUUCUCCAGGAUCAAAACUGAUCAUCAUAGCCUCAAUAUCAAUCAAUCUCCAUUAGUUCAAAGAACAUUAUGCCUCUGAAUUUUAUACUAAAGUUAUCAGUACUUGACAAGGAACAAGUGGGAUCCAUUUCAUUCAAAAAAAGGCAUUCAAAAUUACUAAACGAAUAGGUCUUGAAUCAAGCUAGUCAAAAUGAGUCUGAACCUUCUUCAGCCAAAAUGUCAAGAAAGUUAAUCAAUCUUGAUAUGUACAAGACAUAGGAAGUCAUCCAGAAUAAUCAAAACUGAACCUCCAGAUUGAUCAUCAAUCUCCAGAAAAUUCAAUAACUGACAAUCUAAACUGAUAAUCAAUCCCCGUUUCUGCAGAAAGUGCAGUAUCUAUCUCCUUAAUUAUGCAGAAGUUUAUUAUCAUUCUCCAAACUGUUUUGGACAUAAUCAAGUCUCCAGAUCGAAGAUAUAACGUCAACAAAUACAUAUGAAACAUAAAGGAUCAUUAAUCACCAAGACAAUCUGAUCAAUAACGAAUAAAUCAGUCCAGUCAAACGGUUUUCAGAAAUGUUCAAAGGCUGAAAUAUUUUUAUUCAUAUAUAUAUAUAUAUAUAUAUAUAUAUAUAUACUAGUCAAAACUGACAGAGCACUACCAACAGUUCUUCUGACCAUUAUUAAAUGCUUCAAAAUGCCUAUAAAAGAAGGUCAAUGCCCAGGGAAAUUGUAGAAGUUCAAGUGCUAUCAAGUCUCACAAAUCAUUCACAUUCACAUACUUGAAAUUAUCAUUUUCGCAAGAAAGAUUCAGUUCUGAUUAUAUAUCAUACUCUGUUAUUAUUGUACUGAAUUCUUUAUAAAAAAUCAAAUCUCAAACAAGAGUUGAGACAUCUUAGAUUCUAUCAAAACAAUCUUAUCAUUAUUGUAAAACUCAAACUAUAAGAGUUUAGUAUAGUUUGAAUAGAUUGUAAGAAAUCCUAUCAAGGUUGAUAAGUGUAACGCCCCAGAUUUUUAAUCCAAAACGUUACUUUAAAAAAAUACUUAUUUCGUAGAAAAGUUUAUGAAUCUUUUUUUUUUUUUUUGAAUAAUUAACAUUUAUUCAUUUUACAUAAAUAGUAACAAUCACGUUAUUCGAUAUCAUUAAGAAAAUAUUUAUUCAAAAUUAAAAUAAUAUGAAGACAUUUAUUUUUAACGAAAGGUAAACCACUUCCGUAUUUCUAGAAUUAUAGUACAUUUAAAAGUUUAUGACAAAAGAUCAAAAUAACUUAAAAAAAUAUUGGACAAUUCCAUUAUUACAAAAUCGUCUUUAAAUAAAAACUCAUGUUUACCCCGCAUUCGCCACACGUCAAUACUCAUUAACUACUCUUGAAUCUCCUCGAACUCAUUAGUACCUAAAAUGUUGUUGUAAGGGUCAAUUUUUUUCCAUCANNNNNNNNNNNNNNNNNNNNNNNNNNNNNNNNNNNNNNNNNNNNNNNNNNNNNNNNNNNNNNNNNNNNNNNNNNNNNNNNNNNNNNNNNNNNNNNNNNNNNNNNNNNNNNNNNNNNNNNNNNNNNNNNNNNNNNNNAAAGCCACCCCCCACAAAAAAAACCCCCCCUGCCACUAAGGCAACUUCCACACAGAAAAUCACACUUACCACUAAGGCAACUUCCACACAGAAAAUCAAAACCUGCCAUUAAGGCAACUUCCACGAAGAUGCAUAUGUCAUACCAUGAAGAUGCAGUAUGAAAUAGAUAUACUCCCACACAACCCACUAAGAAUUAUGUCAUGAGCAUUAAAAUUCACUUUUUUAAAAUCAUCACCUUAUUCACACAUCAUUAAGAACACAUACACACAUCCAUAUAAUGAUAAAAAUUAGGACAAUCACAUAGAGAUAAAAGUUUGAUAUCAUAUCGGCCAUAAAAAUUAACACUUUAACACAUAUAACAAUAAAAUUCACACUCCAACUAAUAUAUAUAAUAAUUGUUAAAUUUUGUUUAUCAUACAUCGCAUAAAUUUUCAUAAUUUACUACAUAAGAGUCAAAUAUUAAAUUCAAUCUCACAAAAAUUGGGGUUUUAUUAGUCUACAUUUAUUUUCUUUUAAAAUACAAGUAAUCACGAUUAUUUAUUUCAUGUCAUUCAACUAACGGCCUAACUAUAAUUUGUGUGGGGAAAAGCCCUUACCUUGGCCGCUUUUCUUCCUAGUACAAAGCUCUAAGCCCCACCAAGUCGUUCACAAGGAAAAUAAGUUAUAAGCUUUUGAUGCCCAAAAAGAGGAGGUGAUGGUGAUGGUGGCUAGGAUUUUGGUUUUAUUUAUAAAAGUGUUUGUGAAAUAGGGUUCGUAGUAGCGGCUAGGGUUUCAGUAUUCUUUUCUUAAUAUUGGGCCUAAAUGAUAAAUAGAAAGUAGACAAUAUUAUUGUUGUUAUUAUUGUUGUUGUUGUUGUUGUUGUUAUUAUUAUUAUUAUUAUUAUUAUUACUAUUAUUAUUAUUAUUAAAUAAAACCAACUAUUACCAGAACUAAUUUUGUUAAUACAAUUUCAUUAUGAACGUAUUACCACGAUUUCAAAACAAAUAUUUAUAAAAAGUAAUUUAAGUAAUUACUAUUUUAAAAUAAAUUAAUAACGAAAACUCUCAUAUUCACAAUAUUAACUACAAUUAUACUAUUUUACAAACUAAUCACAUAAAAAUACUACCAUCUUUAUAUAAUAGUCAAAAUGAUAAAAUAAUUAAAUUUAAGUAAUUAAACUUAAUAUUUAUAAAUUAAGUAACUAAACAUAAUAUUUAUAAUUUAUAUUACUCAUUAAAUCAAAUAUAUAUACGAUUAUCAAACCAUAAGAAACUCACACAUAUAAGGACAACUAAUCAUAAAAUUAAUCAAUAUAUAUUCUAAAAUGAUUUUAACACCAAAUUAAUUUCUUUAAAAUUCUAUUUAAUUAAUAAAAUUGUUGAUUAUGAAAUUUUGGAUGUUACAAUUAUACCCAACUUAGAGAAAUUUCGUCCUCGAAAUUUGUAAUAAAGAAAAAGCAAAUCAUUAUUUAAAUUACCACAAUAAAGAUUGAAGCUUAGUCUCUGAAGAUAUAAUAAACAUGACGAGGGCAUUUAUAAUUUAUUAAAGUGCAACAUGAGUUAACAACACAUAUCACAUUUAGCAUUCAAUUAUGGACGAUCAUACCAUAGAGUCACUCACUAUAAUCUACAAAUAAAACAUAUAGACUUAGUUGGUAAUUACUUACUAGAUUUAAUUGGGGUGAAAUGAAACAUAUUUCAAGUACAUUGUUAGCUUCUACUAGAUAAUUAUUACUAACAACUUUAUCAACUAAGAUAUGUGCUGUAAAACCAAAAAGGUUCUUUGUUUUGAACAUUUAGUGGAAAAUCUCACAGUUGUGAGGACUGGACGUAACCCAAGUUGGGUGAACUAGGAUACAUCUUUGUAUGAUAUUCUUUCUCUUAUCUCUUUAUUUAUUAAGCUUGAUUGAUUAACUGAGUAAAAACAUAAACUAGAUUUAUGUUUUUAAGCUAACCAAGAACGUUCUCUUUUUUUUUUUUUUUUUUUUUUGGUAAAAACCAAUAACGUUCUUCGUUUUCUGUUUUUUUAAUUAAGAUCAUUCUUGAGUUAAAUCUUUAGACUUUUUCAAGAAUUUUUAAAUAGAAACAUUUACAAUUCAAACCAUCUUCCUUGCAAAUCGACAUUACUACUUCACUGAUUUAUAUUCUCAAAAAAACUUGUAUGAUGUUAUUUACUCUUUUAUUUGAUUUUUUAGAGUAUAGUUGUCAAACUCACAAGAUUAAUUAAUUUAUAAAUAGAUAUUUCUUAUUCUAACAAUACUUAAUAUAAACAGUGAAUCAUUAAUCAAUUUAUUGGUUAUUAUUAUUAUGUGUUAAAUAAAUUUUUCAUUCCUAUAAAAUUUUGAAUUUUUUUUUAGUUCCAAUAAAAAAAACUGCAAUAUUUAGUCAUUUGAAAUUUUCUUGCAAACAGUUUUAGUCCCUACUUAAAAGAAAUAUGUUUAAUUGUCUUUAAACUUUUAAAUUUUUUAAUGAUUAUUUGUAUUGAAGUUUAAACAUAAGAAAAAAUUUCUUCAUAAUUUUUUUUAAGUUAACAUAAAUUAUAUACGAAUUUUUUAAAUGUCAUAAAACUAAGAUAAAAGUAACAAAAAUAUAAGCGUAGAAAUCAAAUUUUGAAUUUAUUUUUUAUAAUUUUUUUUUUACAAUGUUGUAAACAUGUUUAUAAAAAAAUGCAUUCAAAAAUAUAUUUUCGCAUUCUAACAGAAAAAAUUUAUUUAAGUCUAUUAUUAAUAACAUUUGGUGGAUGUCCAUAGCUAUAAGCUUUUUUUAUCAAUUGAUAAUGACUUAUUAUGAUAGAUUACUUAAUUCUUGAAAGUUUAAAGUUUAUAUGGUAUUGUAAGGAUUGUUGUACCUUAAAGAGUAUAAUGCAAAGAUAUCAUAUUAUCUUUUCAGUCUUUUCUCUUAUGAAUAUUUUGCUUUUGUUUUGAUUAUUUUAUAACAGUUAUUUAGUUUUAUAUAAAUAAUAAUACAUGUACAUUUUUUGCUUUUCUAAAAAAUAAAGUAAAUUUAAUUAAAUUUUACUUCCUCAAGAUAUUGCAAUUUUCAAUUUGAACGUUCAUUUUUGUUUUGUUUUUGUAAAUAGAGAGUCUUUCAUCAAUUAUAUUGUUUAUCAAAUGGCAUUUCUACUAGUAAAAUAUGGUGCAUUUAUCAAUUGAAUUUGACACAAUGAUUGAAUCUUUCACUCACACUUUUGAUUAUUUCUUUCAUUGAUAACCUGUAUUCUUCUUGGUCUUAAAUAUAUAAAAAAAAAAUAGAAUUAAAAAUAAAAUAAAUGUAUUUAUUUUAAAUUUAGGAACAAAUAUAUAUAUAAAAAGUAUUUAUUUUAAAUUUAGGAACAAAUAUAUAUAUUUUAUAUUAUUUUCUCUUAUAUUUGAGAUUAUAAAAAGUACAUAUAAACGCAUUUUUUUUAAUAUUAUCAUAUUUCCCUAUAGUUUGUGUAGUAUAAAAAUAAUAUUUUAACCCAAAAAUUAUGGUAUUCAUAAUGAAAAAUAACAUUUAUUUGUAAUAGAAAUAGUAUAUUUAAGGAUCAAACGAUGCAUUAUACAAGUCUAAAACCCCAAACUAUUGGAACCAACUUGGUCCAUAUAUAUACAAAUGAACAACAAUUAAUUUUGUUGAUAACAAAAUCGUAUAAGGAAUAAUUUUUCUUCUAACUGAUUUGUCUAGUGAGCAUAUGAAACUCUUUAAUUGACAAUGUCAAAAAGAUAUGUUGACUCUCUCAUAACAUCUAGUAUAUCCAUAACAUUACAAUCAAUAAACUAUGGAUAAGUUGAAGCUAUAAUGUGUUUGGUGAUUUAGUGCAAUAUUCAAAUUAUGUGCAUUUGGCAACCUAAAUAGUUGAGAUGUCAGCGUCUAGUUAAGAGCGUAAUGACUAUACUCCAUCAGAACGAAAAUGAACUCAUUGAAGAAGAGUUAUGAUACCACAAACACUUUUUGGAAUAACACCACGUGUAUAAUAUCUCUGUACAAUAUUUCUAAGAUUUUAUUGCGAACUUAUUUACACAAAAGAUAACAUAUUUAUUUUUCAACCAACUAUACAAGCUAAAGAACUGCAAACAAGAAGAAUAUUGUAUUAAUUUGGCACAAAGCUUCAACUUUUGUAAAAUUAAUUUCAGAAAUCUUUAAACAAAUUUAAACAUCUCAAAAGUGAAAUCUGCUAAAGAAUUUGAGAAUUCCUGAAAUCACGUUGCAAAUUCAUAGAUAUGUUCCAAUGGUGGUUGUUUGUAUUCCUCAUAGAUAUGACAAUACUAAGUGUGUGUUUGAAAAAAUGCAAAAUGACGUUGCAAAUUCAUGUCCACUAAAACUCUCCAAAUAGUAGCUUCUCUAAAUCACGGAUAAAAUGCAUGGUAACUGAAGAAAUUGGCUGCAAACGCCAUUCCAAACAUAUGCUAAGUCCUUGUGAUGUGUUUGAGAAUAAUCAAUUAACAAAAGUAUUCUCUAGCAAUUGUAAUCAAAUAAAUGAAGACAUUUUAGUGGAAAAUUCUUUAAGUUAAAUGAAUUGGAGAUAACUGUUAGGUGAACAGUUCAUCCAAGAUAAUUUUGUGUAUUACUUUUCUCUUAUCCUCAACUAUGUUUGCAUUAAAAAAAAUCAAUUUUUCGUUUUUAAAGGAAACUAUUUUUAAAACUAGUAUUUUUAAAUAAAAAAAAAAGAGUUUGACCUUGAAAAACUAGAGAUUUAAAAAAUUAAUUAUUUUGAACUAAACAAAUUUAAAUCCCUUUGUUGUCAUCCUUCCUUACCAUCAAUUGAGAUCAUUUGGUAACAGAGUAGUUAAGAAGGAAAAAUUAUUUUAAAUUAUAAAUCUAUUAAAAGAACGAUAAUCAUAAUUCAUAUUAGCUAAUUAGCUAAUUAGCUAAUUAGCUAAUAGAUCGUGACAAUGAUAAAGAAUUUGUUUGAUUUAAUACAAAAAAGAUAAUUACAUAUAAAAAUAGAUUGGAUCGAUCGACACUAAUCUAUAAUUUAACCAAUGUCAUAUUCGAGGUAGAUCAUACUUUUUAAAUAAACUAGACUAAAACUUUUAUUACACAAUCCUUUUUCUCAUAUUUAAGAUCAAAUUAAAUAAAAAUAUUUAAAAUUAAAUGCUAAGCUUAUAUUCUCUCACUUCUAAAUCCUUAAUUUUUGGAGCGGAACUAAAUUUGGCUUAUGAUCAUUUUUAUUCCCCUACCUUCCUCUCCGUCCAAUAAAAAAAAAUAGAUAUUUUUUCUAGAAUAAAAUAUAAACAACAAUAAUUUUAAGGAAAAAUAUAUCUAGAUAUAAAAUUUUAGUUUUAGAUUUGGUCGUUUUAAAAAAAAUUAAUUUGAAAAAAAAAUGUAUACCAGCGUAAAUUAAUUUUACAUUGAUGUCAAUAUAAAUAAAAUAUAUGAUUUUUUUUGAAAGUGAUAACAACUGUUGUUGGAGUUAGAAAUUAUUCGAGAGAUCAACUAACUCUUUUCAAUUUGAUUUCGUUUUUUUUAAACGAUUACAUUGAAGAAUGAACUAUGUCCCUCAAUUAUAAAUAUCCUAAUAACGUUAAAGAGUGUUAAAGUACGUCGCGUUUAUCUUUAAACUACUAAACUAAUGAAUAUACAAAGUAAAAUAAAAUGAUAAAGAGAUAGAUAUGCAUAAAAACUUGUUUGAUUAAUUAUAUGUCUCGAAUAAUUUACAAGUAUUGAUAUUUAUAGACAGAUGCUAGUCCUACUGGCCAUAAGACGUAACCUACAAAAAUAUAGCUUUACUCGGCUAUUAUGUGGAUAAUCAAUGAUAAUUCUUGCUUAUGGGAAUUUUUGAUGCUCCACGAUCGGUUCAUAUUUCCUAUCUUCACAACAUGUCUCGUUGUCAAUACUCGCACAUGUUUUGUUGUGCCUCUGUGUUGAACGUUAAUGGUACUAAAAACGUAUAACACAAAUGCAAUUGGCAAAUCAUCAAAUUCUAUUGUGCAUUAAUUCAUUCACAUGUCUUUGCAAUCUUUGUGGACCUUUAGAGACUUGAAAAAGAUUUGACUUACCCACAUUCAACUGUUAAUUGCCAUUAUUGACUAACAAUUCUUUUUAGUUGUAUAUAACAAUAUUCAGUUAUAUAUAACAUGGUUGAUUUAUAUUAUAUGAUAUUAUAAAAUUAUUUUACAUUGCAAAUAUAAUCAUUAUACUCUUUUAUGAUUUAGACUAAAUACAUUAAUUUUGUUGAUAAUAAGAUACAAUAAUUUUUCAAAACAAAAUUGUAUGUUUAUAUUUAUGGUAUUCUAGAAAACCUGAACAUAGUUGAAAGGGGAUAUACUAAUAUGGACUAGCAAUUGGCGUAGUCACAAAUGGGUACAAGUUGGGUAGUCACCGCACUCUGGAGGGUCAUAUUAAUGAUAAGCGAUGUACUGACUACACAACUACAUGCAUGUAGUUGUAAUUGCACUAUAUUCAAUCUCGUAUUAUUACUGUCAUCAAUUACAUGCAAUUAAAAAUGUUUUGCACUGAUAAUGUUAAUACUACUAAAUUAAAUAUUUUAUUUUAGUUUAAAUUUAAAAACUCACAAUUAGAUGAAAUUAUAAUAUAGUUAUAAACAGACUUAAUUAUUUUUAAAUUAUAAUUUUAAAUUUGUAUCAUUCGAUUUGUUUGGACGGAAAAAAAUUGGUGAAUGCAAGAUGCAAUCCUUAUCCAUCGUAUCGUCAUCAGUUGCCGAAAACGAUUUUGACUCUGAUUCUAGAAGUUGCCGUUUCAUAAAGGUGGGCACCUUAUAGUAUGUCCACGUGUCAUACAUUGAUUGACUGAGUGGCUGUUGCCGAUAUUUUUUCACUAUAAAAUGCAAAGCCCGGUAAACCAAUUCUUCAAGUAGCUACAGAAAGCUUUCGUUUCAUUGCAGUGAAAAGAAAAUUCCUAGAGCACAACACCCUUUCACUUUCAAGGUAUAAUCUACUUUUCUUCUCCUUUCCAUUAAGACUUCGAUCAUUAGGGUUUUGUAUUCUCUCGUUUAAUCGGUCUUUGGAUUUGUCAACUUUGAAUUUGAUAUAGCUUUUUCGACAUCGAUUGUUAGGUUUGUGUUAUCUUUUUAAUCCAUCAUUCACCUGUUUGCCUUUAUUUUUAAUCUGGUUUAUGUGAUUUGACUGUUACGAUAAUCACUCUAGCUGAGAUCUAUGUGAAAACUUUUCUUGAUUAAUUUAAUUUUGUAUUAAUCAAAAGGUUCAAAACGAUCUUAAGAAUUGGAUUAUGUAUUGUAUGAUUUUAUAAUCUCCUAUAGUUAGAUUAGUCCUGGGACGUUGAUACGACUGAUUCAUUCAUUUAUCGGACACAAUUUUUUGUGUAAUUUUGUACUUUGAUGAGAAGUAUGUUUUUAAAACGUUUUUCUGUAAAUAUAACUCAUUAUAUUGGCUGAUCUUCUACUUCCAGUCCUCUAACACGUAGUCUUUUAACUCUGUUGUAGCUAUAAUGAACAAUUGUUGAUUGAUUAAUUUGUUUUUGUUUGUUAUGGAUAAUAUAGAUGCAAAUAUUUGUGAAGACCCUCACUGGCAAAACCAUCACUCUCGAAGUUGAGAGUUCAGAUACCAUAGACAAUGUUAAGGCCAAGAUUCAAGACAAGGAAGGCAUCCCACCAGACCAGCAGCGUCUCAUUUUUGCAGGCAAGCAGCUGGAGGAUGGGCGUACCCUUGCUGAUUACAACAUCCAAAAAGAGUCAACCCUUCAUUUGGUGCUCCGUCUCCGUGGUGGAAUGCAAAUCUUCGUGAAGACUCUCACUGGAAAGACGAUCACCCUUGAGGUGGAAAGCUCUGAUACUAUUGACAAUGUCAAGGCCAAGAUUCAGGACAAGGAGAGCAUUCCACCAGACCAACAGAGGCUCAUUUUUGCUGGCAAACAGCUUGAGGAUGGCCGAACUUUAGCAGAUUACAAUAUUCAGAAAGAAUCCACCCUUCAUUUGGUGCUCCGACUCCGUGGUGGCAUGCAAAUCUUCGUCAAGACCCUCACAGGAAAGACCAUCACCCUUGAAGUUGAGAGUUCUGACACCAUUGACAAUGUCAAGGCCAAGAUCCAAGACAAAGAGGGUAUCCCACCUGAUCAGCAGAGGCUCAUCUUUGCUGGAAAACAGCUUGAAGAUGGUCGAACCUUGGCUGAUUACAACAUCCAGAAAGAGUCAACUCUCCACCUGGUUUUGCGUCUUCGUGGUGGUAUGCAGAUUUUCGUGAAGACUCUUACUGGCAAGACAAUUACUUUGGAGGUAGAGAGCUCAGACACAAUUGACAAUGUGAAGGCUAAGAUACAGGACAAGGAGGGUAUUCCCCCAGACCAGCAAAGGUUGAUUUUUGCUGGAAAGCAGCUUGAAGAUGGCCGAACCUUGGCUGAUUACAACAUCCAGAAAGAAUCCACCCUCCACCUUGUCCUUCGAUUGAGGGGAGGUAUGCAGAUCUUUGUAAAGACUUUGACAGGAAAGACCAUAACUUUGGAGGUGGAAAGUUCAGACACAAUUGACAAUGUAAAGGCAAAAAUUCAAGACAAGGAGGGAAUCCCACCAGAUCAGCAAAGGUUGAUCUUUGCUGGGAAGCAAUUGGAGGAUGGAAGGACCCUAGCUGACUACAACAUUCAGAAGGAGUCUACUCUUCACCUCGUGUUGCGUCUUCGUGGUGGAUUUUAAGUUUUUGGAUGUUACUUAGUGGUUUUUUUAAUGUGUGAAAGUCCUUUAAGGUCUUUUGUUUUUAAUGUUACAGAACUUGCUACUGUAUGAAUCUCGAGUCCGUGAUGGCCCUUAAAUCUUUAGUUUGCUAUGAUAUUUGUAUAAUUCUGUUCUCACAGUAUACUUCAUGAACAUGUACUAUUUGCUAUCCUUCGAGUGGUCAAGUAUUAUUCUUUUGUUUUCUAUCUGUAGUUCACAAUAUUACUGCUGCGUAUGAAAUUGGAGGAAGUAGAUGUUUGCUAUGUAGUGUCUUAUCCUAGGCGGUAGGUACUUUUAUCGCAUCAUUUGCAUAUCUUAUUUUAUUUCUUAUAAUAACUAAACAAAAACUCUGGAAAUAUAAGGAAUAGACCCAGGAUCCGGUAUAGAUACUUCACUAUCAUCUUCAAAAUCAUUGAAUGUAAGGAUACCCGUGUAAAAUUAAUCUAGUUUUUGUCGGUAUCAAUGAUUUACUGCUCCGGGCAUUUGAGACACAGACCUCAGUUUGAUGACAUCUUUUACUAGGAAUGGAAUUUAAGCAAGAGUGGAUAUGCCAAAAAGAAGUAUGUUAUUAAUCGAAACAGUCUUGCAAAAGACUAUAGCAACAAGUUUGUAAUUUGAGAAAAAAAUUUGCAAGGAUAAAGAGAAAAACAGGUUCGAACAAUUGAUUAUCUAUUCAAUGAUAAAAAAUUUACAACACUCUCAGAUUACAAACAGUAAGCUUUGGCUUAUAUAUGCUGCCAAUCUAUUCCUGGACAGUUAUAAAACAGUUACAAGAUGAAUGAGAUGUCACAUAGCCAGGCAUAAAUAACUAAAACAACAUACAGCUAACGGAAUAAUCCACCAGGGUCUACAGAGUAUAAAAGGGAGGUAAAUUAUGAAGGAUGGCAAAAGCAUCAUUACUCCGAUGAACUAGAAAGAAAAUUUUGGAGAAGAUAAUAUAGCUAAUUUGAUAAAUAUUACUUAUAGAUGUCUGAUUGCUUGAUUCUUAAGCAUGCUUUGAAAGUUCAUCCACUGUGCAAGUGAAAUUAUGACUGAUAAGUGCGAACAGCCAAAGUUACAUGUCUUGAAAGUGAUUGUAGAGGUUCCAUUGAGAACAUGAGAAAACAAAAUAGGUUAUUUUCCCAGCUUUAGAUCAGGUGUUAUUACAAGGUGUUUAGAGAAGCAGAAUGAGGUAGAACAUGUAACUACAGCUGCUGUAAAUCAAGCAUUUUGGCCUAGAAACUCGCUUUCAGACUCAUAUGAAACAAAAUGAGGAAUCUUUUAUUGGCAAUCAAGUUGCAAUGGCAGUUUGAAAUAAUCCUAAUUUUCACGACCAGAAGGAUUUUAAGUUCAAAUUAUUUUUCUUAGGGGAAAUACGAAAACAAGGUGAGGUCAAAAUUAACAUCAAGAAGAAGAACAAUAACUAUUUACUUAUUUAUUCAUGCAGAAAUAUUUCACACAUUACAUAUAUCUCUUGCACUGACAUCAUCACACAAAAGAUUAACAUUACAUGGGUACAAACAAAAGCAAGAGAGUCACUUCCGAGUUUAACCAGAGAUCUCAAUGGACUUAACAUCAGGCUUUUUGAUCUGUUCUUUUGGAACAGUGACAGUGAGAACACCAUUCUCCAUGGCAGCUUUAACUUGUUCAAUUUUAGCAUUCUCAGGCAAUCUGAAUCUCCUCAUGAAUUUACCACUGCUACGUUCCACACGAUGCCAUUGAUCAUUCUUGUCUUCUUUCUCAACGCUCCUCUCUCCGCUUAUCUGAAGAACCCUAUCAUCUUCAAUUUCAACUUUCACUUCCUCUUUCUUCAGUCCAGGAAGAUCAGCUUUAAACACGUGUGCUUCUGGUGUUUCCUUCCAGUCCACACGUGUGUUCACAAAUGCAGAAUUCUCACGAGAUAAUUCAGGGAAUGAAGCAGAAACGGAACUAGAAAAUGGAAAAUCCUUAAAGGGAUCCCAAAGGUCGAGGGAGAAUGGAUCGUAAACGUUGCUCCUUCGGCCACCAAAGAAACUUGGAAUCAGCGACAUUUUUAUUUCUUUAGAUGUACUAGUUGAGAACUCGGUUAAUUGAGGAUGGAAUGGGAUUUGAUAUCAAAAUUUAGUGUGAAUUGU
rnacentral:lncRNA from 1 species